AUGGGUAGCCAACUGCCGCCGCCGCCGGCUGCGUCCACGGCCACCACCCACGCUGCCGCCGCCGACGGAAUGACCACCACCAUAUCCUCGCUCGGCCAGGACCAGCUCCUCGAGAUCUUCCUCCGCUUGCCCAACCUGCCGGCGCUCGUCCGCGCGGCGCUCACCUGCCGCUCCUGGCUCGGGGCCGUCCGCUCCUCCCGGCCCUUCCGCCGCCUCUUCCGCGCCCUCCACCCGGCGCCACUCCUCGGGCUGUUCCUCGAAGUCGACGAAGAUGCCGCCCCCUCCUUCGCCCCCCUGCGCCGCACAGAUCCCGACGUCGCCGCCGCCCUCCGGUGCGGCGACUUCUUCCUCACCUCCCUCCCCGUGCAGGACGGCGCGUACACGGGCUGGGGCAUCGUGGACUGCCGCGACGGCUACAUCCUCCUGCGGAACAUGUUCUCCCUCGCCGCCGUGAACCCCAUGACCUGGGCCGUGGACAUCAUCCCGAUGCCCGACGACGUGAGGGCUGGGAGCGGCCUCAGUUUCGGCUUCCUUGGUUUCCAUCUGAUGUCUUCUGAGGAGAACCCCUGGUCGCUCCGCGUGGUCUGCGUCUGCGCGGAUGUGUCUAGGGUUCGUGCUGCCGUCUUCUCGUCCGAGACAUGGGAUUGGGCCAUCCACCCAUGGGUUGAAAUUGGCGGCGACAACAGCCUAAAGUACAAUGCUGGCAUGCUGGUGGAUGGUUCCGUUUACUGGCCUUUCCAUGGCGAACACCGCAUGAUAAGGAUCAACACAGCCACCAUGGAGGUCAUCAAUGUGGAUCUACCCUUGCAGGUGGAUGUGGAGAGCUGCAAUUACAACGCUGGGGAGACUAGGGAUGGUCAGCUAUGCAUUGUCUAUGCUGCCGAUGAUUUUCACCUCCAUGUUUGGAUCCGUGGUGUGGAUGGUGAUGGAAUUGGGAUUUGGGUGCCGCAGAACAUACUCUCUUUGAGUGCAGAAAUUGGUCGGGUCACUCGGGGCUGGCUGGGCCACCUUAGGGUUGUGCAAGUUAGGUCUGGAUAUGUCUACUUGUCCAUGAAAUGCAUUACCCCUGUUGGCAUACUCCGCUGCUGGUUCUUAUCCCUUUCAUUGGAGACCAUGAAGAUUGAGUCACUGAUCCACGGGACAUUUGGUGACUCUGCCUAUCCGUACAUUAUGGCCUGGCCUCCUUGUUUGAUUGGUCAUGAUGGGAGCAGCACUGGGCAUGAAGUUGAAGCUUCUCACUGA
rnacentral:rRNA from 1 species